rnacentral:rRNA from 1 species
CCUACGGGGGGCAGCAGUGGGGAAUAUUGCACAAUGGGGGAAACCCUGAUGCAGCGACGCCGCGUGAGCGAAGAAGUAUUUCGGUAUGUAAAGCUCUAUCAGCAGGGAAGAAAAUGACGGUACCUGAGUAAGAAGCUCCGGCUAAAUACGUGCCAGCAGCCGCGGUAAUACGUAUGGAGCAAGCGUUAUCCGGAUUUACUGGGUGUAAAGGGAGCGCAGGCGGAUCUUUAAGUCAGCGGUCAAAUCGUGGGGCUCAACCCCAUCCAGCCGUUGAAACUGGGGAUCUAGAGUGUGCGAGAGGUAUG